AAAGUACUCCCUCCGUCCCAAAAUUCUUUUCUUAGAUUUGUCUAGAUACGGAUGUAUCAAGUCACAUUUUAGUAUUAGAUACAUCCGUAUGUAGACAAAUCUAAGACAAGAAAUUUGGGACAGAGGGAGUAGUUG
rnacentral:pre_miRNA from 1 species